GACGAACGCUGGCGGCGUGCUUAACACAUGCAAGUCGAACGGAAAGGCCCUGCUUUUGUGGGGUGCUCGAGUGGCGAACGGGUGAGUAACACGUGAGUAACCUGCCCUUGACUUUGGGAUAACUUCAGGAAACUGGGGCUAAUACCGGAUAGGAGCUCCUGCUGCAUGGUGGGGGUUGGAAAGUUUCGGCGGUUGGGGAUGGACUCGCGGCUUAUCAGCUUGUUGGUGGGGUAGUGGCUUACCAAGGCUUUGACGGGUAGCCGGCCUGAGAGGGUGACCGGCCACAUGGGGACUGAGAUACGGCCCAGACUCCUACGGGAGGCAGCAGUGGGGAAUAUUGCACAAUGGGCGGAAGCCUGAUGCAGCAACGCCGCGUGCGGGAUGACGGCCUUCGGGGUGUAAACCGCUUUCGCCUGUGACGAAGCGUGAGUGACGGUAAUGGGUAAAGAAGCACCGGCUAACUACG
rnacentral:rRNA from 1 species